UACGGAGGAGGCAAGCGUUAUCCGGAAUUAUUGGGCGUAAAGCGUCCGCAGGUGGCACCUCAAGUCUGCUGUCAAAGACCGGGGCUUAACCCCAGAAAGGCAGUGGAAACUGAAGUGCUAGAGUGCAGUAGGGGUAGAGGGAAUUCCCGGUGUAGCGGUGAAAUGCGUAGAGAUCGGGAAGAACAUCGGUGGCGAAGGCGGCUUUCUGGACGAGUAACUGACGCUGAGGCGCGAAAGCUAGGGGAGCAAACAGGAUGAGAAACCCUUAGGUAGUCCAAGACCGAAUGAU
rnacentral:rRNA from 1 species